UGGUGGCCUGUGAGUGCCUGCCCAGCCCCGGCCUGGAGCCUGAGCCUUGCUCACGAGCACGGUCCCAGGCUCGCGUGUACCUGGAGCAGUUUUGCAACAGGGUGGCUCUGGAUUAGGGGGGAAGUGAAGAGAGGAAAGAGGGAAACUGAGGUCAGACUGGGCCGGCCUAGAGCAUUUUCUAGAUGUUAGAUCUCUAGCCCCCUCUUUGGCUAGAGGGUGGAGGACCCAGAUUCUACAGGGGCAAUGGGGGUAAGGACAGGUCAGGAACUGAGGGAGGCAGUUGCUCCACCCUCAUUCGGGUUUCUCCUAGCUGGGGAGGCCCCAUCCACCAGACCCCAGAGGGAGGCUGAAGGUGAACCCACAGCCAG
rnacentral:lncRNA from 1 species